GGCAACAUGGCCGAGUGGUUAAGGCGCUAGAUCCAGGUUAUUUAGCCUUCUAGUACGAAAGUGCGUGGGUUCGAGUCCCACUGUUGUCA